rnacentral:rRNA from 1 species
AGUGAACGCUGGCGGUAGGCUUAACACAUGCAAGUCGAACGGAAAGGCCCUGCUUUUGUGGGGUGCUCGAGUGGCGAACGGGUGAGUAACACGUGAGUAACCUGCCCUUGACUUUGGGAUAACUUCAGGAAACUGGGGCUAAUACCGGAUAGGAGCUCCUGCUGCAUGGUGGGGGUUGGAAAGUUUCGGCGGGUGGGGAUGGACGCGCGGCUUAUCAGCUGGUUGGUGGGGGAGUGGCUUACCAAGGCUUUGACGGGUAGCCGGCCUGAGAGGGUGACCGGCCACAUUGGGACUGAGAUACGGCCCAGACUCCUACGGGAGGCAGCAGUGGGGAAUAUUGCACAAUGGGCGGAAGCCUGAUGCAGCAACGCCGCGUGCGGGAUGACGGCCUUCGGGUUGUAAACCGCUUUCGCCUGUGACGAAGCGUGAGUGACGGUAAUGGGUAAAGAAGCACCGGCUAACUACGUG